rnacentral:rRNA from 1 species
AGUCGAGCGGUAACAUUUCUAGCUUGCUAGAAGAUGACGAGCGGCGGACGGGUGAGUAACGCGUAGGAAUCUACCUAUUGGUGGGGGAUAGCCCAGGGAAACUUGGAUUAAUACCGCAUAAGCUCUUAGGAGGAAAGCGGGGGAUCUUCGGACCUCGUGCCAAUAGAUGAGCCUGCGUGAGAUUAGCUAGAUGGUGGGGUAAUGGCCUACCAUGGCGACGAUCUUUAGCUGGUCUGAGAGGAUGAUCAGCCACACUGGGACUGAGACACGGCCCAGACUCCGACGGGAGGCAGCAGUGGGGAAUAUUGGACAAUGGGCGCAAGCCUGAUCCAGCCAUGCCGCGUGUGUGAAGAAGGCCUUCGGGUUGUAAAGCACUUUCAGAGGUGAGGAAGGGUGUGCCGUUAAUACCGGUAUGCUUUGACGUUAGCCUCAGAAGAAGCACCGGCUAACUCUGUGCCAGCAGCCGCGGUAAUACAGAGGGUGCAAGCG